AGGCUACGAUGGGUAGGGGUUCUUAGUGGAAGGUCCCCCACACUGGCACUGAGAUACGGGCCAGACUCCUACGGGAGGCAGCAGUAGGGAAUAUUGGUCAAUGGGCGCAAGCCUGAACCAGCCAUGCCGCGUGCAGGAUGAAGGCUCUCUGAGUUGUAAACUGCUUUUGUACAGGAGCAAAAAAAUCCCUGCGGGGGUUCUUGAGAGUACUGUAAGAAUAAGCACCGGCUAAUUCCGUGCCAGCAGCCGCGGUAAUACGGGAGGUGCAAGCGUUAUCCGGUUUUAUUGGGUUUAAAGGGUGCGUAGGCGGCUUAUUAAGUCAGUUGUGAAAUCCUAGUGCUUAACGCUAGA
rnacentral:rRNA from 1 species